rnacentral:rRNA from 1 species
UGGGGAAUUUUGGACAAUGGGCGCAAGCCUGAUCCAGCCAUGCCGCGUGCAGGAUGAAGGCCUUCGGGUUGUAAACUGCUUUUGUACGGAACGAAAAGCCUCCUUCUAAUAAAGGGGGGUGAUGACGGUACCGUAAGAAUAAGCACCGGCUAACUACGUGCCAGCAGCCGCGGUAAUACGUAGGGUGCAAGCGUUAAUCGGAAUUACUGGGCGUAAAGCGUGCGCAGGCGGUUUUGCAAGACAGUGGUGAAAUCCCCGGGCUCAACCUGGGAACUGCCAUUGUGACUGCAAGGCUAGAGUGCGGCAGAGGGGGAUGGAAUUCCGCGUGUAGCAGUGAAAUGCGUAGAUAUGCGGAGGAACACCGAUGGCGAAGGCAAUCCCCUGGGCCUGCACUGACGCUCAUGCACGAAAGCGUGGGGAGCAAACA